AGAGUUUGAUCAUGGCUCAGGAUGAACGCUGGCGGCGUGCUUAACACAUGCAAGUCGAACGAAGCAACAGAGACAGAAACCUUCGGGCGGAAGACUUUGUUGACUGAGUGGCGGACGGGUGAGUAACGCGUGGGUAACCUGCCUUACACAGGGGGAUAACAGUUAGAAAUGACUGCUAAUACCGCAUAAGACCACAGCACCACAUGGUGCAGGGGUAAAAACUGAGGUGGUGUAAGAUGGGCCCGCGUCUGAUUAGCUAGUUGGUGGGGUAAGAGCCCACAAGGCGACGAUCAGUAGCCGACCUGAGAGGGUGACCGGCCACAUUGGGACUGAGACACGGCCCAAACUCCUACGGGAGGCA
rnacentral:rRNA from 1 species